UGCAGGGUAGUUCAGCGGUUAAGACGUUGGACUUUUGAUUGGAAGGCUGUGAUUUCAAAUCCCAGCACUGCCA